AGUGAACGCUGGCGGUAGGCCUAACACAUGCAAGUCGAACGGCAGCACAGUAAGAGCUUGCUCUUACGGGUGGCGAGUGGCGGACGGGUGAGGAAUACAUCGGAAUCUACUUUUUCGUGGGGGAUAACGUAGGGAAACUUACGCUAAUACCGCAUACGACCUACGGGUGAAAGCAGGGGAUCUUCGGACCUUGCGCGAUUGAAUGAGCUGAUGUCGGAUUAGCUAGUUGGCGGGGUAAAGGCCCACCAAGGCGACGAUACGUAGCUGAUCUGAGAGGAUGAUCAGCCACACUGGAACUGAGACACGGUCCAGACUCCUACGGGAGGCAGCAGUGGGGAAUAUUGGACAAUGGGCGCAAGCCUGAUCCAGCCAUACCGCGUGGGUGAAGAAGGCCUUCGGGUUGUAAAGCCCUUUUGUUGGGAAAGAAAAGCAGCAGGUUAAUACCCCGCUGUUCUGACGGUACCCAAAGAAUAAGCACCGGCUAACUUCGUG
rnacentral:rRNA from 1 species